GACGAACGCUGGCGGCGUGCUUAACACAUGCAAGUCGAACGGAAAGGCCCUGCUUUUGUGGGGUGCUCGAGUGGCGAACGGGUGAGUAACACGUGAGUAACCUGCCCUUGACUUUGGGAUAACUUCAGGAAACUGGGGCUAAUACCGGAUAGGAGCUCCUGCUGCAUGGUGGGGGUUGGAAAGUUUCGGCGGUUGGGGAUGGACUCGCGGCUUAUCAGCUUGUUGGUGGGGUAGUGGCUUACCAAGGCUUUGACGGGUAGCCGGCCUGAGAGGGUGACCGGGCACAUUGGGACUGAGAUACGGCCCAGACUCCUACGGGAGGCAGCAGUGGGGAAUAUGGCACAAUGGGCGGAAGCGUGAUGCAGCAACGCCGCGUGCGGGAUGACGGCCUUCGGGUUGUAAACCGCUUUCGCCUGUGACGAAGCGUGAGUGACGGUAAUGGGUAAAGAAGCACCGGCUAACUACGUG
rnacentral:rRNA from 1 species